UCAUCUGAAAGCUAUAGUAAUGCUAACAUUUAUGUCAAUGUUAAUUGCAAACUUUACAUUUCCUAUUCUAACAGGAUUUUUAAAAAAAGGAUACAGCAACCCGAUUGAAGCUUACAUCCAUAAUGUUGAAGCGUGUGCCUCCUUGGUUUGGUGAAGAGAGAGACUGCUCACCACCCCAUGGGUCUUCACAAGGUGCAUGUGUGCAGUGCUGGCCCCAAUGCAGGCCGAUAGUAUCCAAAUCCUCCCAUAUAUAGACGACUGGCUGGUUUGUGCUCCAAUCAGGGAACAGGCAGAGCAGGACACUGUGGCCCUUCUCUCUCAUGUGACAUGAUUGGGCCUUACGUCAAUUACACCAAAAGUUGUCUCAUACCCAGCCAGUGGGUGGUGUUGACUGGGUUAACCCUGGACUCCCACCAAAUGCUUGCCUCCCCAACUUCUCGGUGGGUGGAGGCCAUACUACAGCUUCUCCUCCAUUUCCAGAGCAACAGAAGUGGAUUGGUGCCAGUCAGUUCACACUGCAGGGAGGGAUUGCAGAGAUCAAGACCCAUCCACUCCCCGCAAAGAAUGAACAUAUAGAAAGUAAUAUAACUCUGCUGGUUUCUGGCAGCGGGACCUGAAGCUCUGCAGUGUGAAGUUGUUUUUACUCAUGGUAACAUUUCUGUGAAACUUGCCAAAAGUGGAACAGGUCCCAAGUGUGGUCACAUACACAAAGUGACAUUCACUCGUCCACAUGAAAUAGGUGGUUGUUGAACUGCUAUUGCUGGUGAGCUAGCACUAGUCAGUCACAUUAACUCCUGGCUUAGAUUUUCUCUCUACUGUUCUGUUGACUUCCCCCUGGCAUUUUGUUCACCAUUCAUUCAAUGAAAAUAAAGUUCUUCUUAGCUUAGCUCAGUCACCAACGGGACAAUAACUUCACUCAGUUUAUUCAAAAGACAUACAGUAUUUUAACCAUUGACUUUUAUAACUCAUAACUGACUAUUCCUCUUUUGUGGAACAGUUUUUACUCCGACAGAGGGGGUCAAAUAAAAGUGAAUAAAAUACAAAACUACGCAAA